GCAUGUGGUUUAAUUCGAUGCAACGCGAAGAACCUUACCUACUCUUGACAUCCAGAGAACUUAGCAGAGAUGGUUUGGUGCCUUCGGGAACUCUGAGACAGGUGCUGCAUGGCUGUCGUCAGCUCGUGUUGUGAAAUGUUGGGUUAAGUCCCGCAACGAGCGCAACCCUUAUCCUUUGUUGCCAGCGGUUAGGCCGGGAACUCAAAGGAGACUGCCAGUGAUAAACUGGAGGAAGGUGGGGAUGACGUCAAGUCAUCAUGGCCCUUACGAGUAGGGCUACACACGUGCUACAAUGGCGCAUACAAAGAGAAGCGACCUCGCGAGAGCAAGCGGACCUCAUAAAGUGCGUCGUAGUCCGGAUUGGAGUCUGCAACUCGACUCCAUGAAGUCGGAAUCGCUAGUAAUCGUGGAUCAGAAUGCCACGGUGAAUACGUUCCCGGGCCUUGUACACACCGCCCGUCACACCAUGGGAGUGGGUUGCAAAAGAAGU
rnacentral:rRNA from 1 species